UACAUGGGGUGCAAACGUUGUUCGGAAUUAUUGGGCGUAAAGCGCGCGUAGGCGGUUACUUAAGUCGGAUGUGAAAGCCCUCGGCUUAACUGAGGAAGUGCACCCGAAACUGAGUAGCUAGAGUACGAAAGAGGGUCGCGGAAUUCCCGGUGUAGAGGUGAAAUUCGUAGAUAUCGGGAGGAACACCGGUGGCGAAGGCGGCGACCUGGGUCGAGACUGACGCUGAGGCGCGAAAGCGUGGGGAGCAAACAGG
rnacentral:rRNA from 1 species